rnacentral:rRNA from 1 species
GACGAACGCUGGCGGCGUGCCUAAUACAUGCAAGUCGAACGCAGUUGCGAACGGGUGAGUAACGCGUAUGUAACUGCCUCAUAGCGGGGGAUCACUAUUGGAAACGAAAGCUAAUACCGCCUACUGUGAUAUGGACCUGCGUUUUAUUAGGUAGUUGGUUAGGUAAAGGCGCACCAAGGCGACGGUACAUAGCCGGCCUGGGAGGGUGAUCGGCCAAAAUGGGAAUGGGAACCGGCCCAGACUCCUACGGGAGGCAGCAGUAGGGAAACUUCGGAAAUGGACGGAAGUCUGACCCAGCAAAGGCGCGUGAGUGAAGAAGGGUCUCCGAACGUAAAGCUCUGUUGAGAGAGAAGCGGUAACUAACCAGAAAGGGACGGCUAACUACGUGCCAGCAGCCGCGGUAAUUC